rnacentral:rRNA from 1 species
CAGUAGCCACGGUAAUACGGAGGGAGCUAGCGUUGUUCGGAAUUACUGGGCGUAAAGCGCGCGUAGGCGGUUACUCAAGUCAGAGGUGAAAGCCCGGGGCUCAACCCCGGAACUGCCUUUGAAACUAGGUGACUAGAAUCUUGGAGAGGUCAGUGGAAUUCCGAGUGUAGAGGUGAAAUUCGUAGAUAUUCGGAAGAACACCAGUGGCGAAGGCGACUGACUGGACAAGUAUUGACGCUGAGGUGCGAAAGCGUGGGGAGCAAACAGGAUUAGAUACCCGCGUAGUCCCUGUCCUUAUACA